CCUACGGGUGGCAGCAGUAGGGAAUAUUGCUCAAUGGGGGAAACCCUGAAGCAGCAACGCCGCGUGGAGGAUGAAGGUUUUAUGAUUGUAAACUCCUUUUUUUAGAGAAGAUAAUGACGGUAUCUCACGAAUAAGCACCGGCUAACUCCGUGCCCGCAGCCGCGGUAAUACGCAGGGUGCAGGUGUUACUCGGAAUUACUGGGCGUAAAGGGGGCGCAGGGUGGAUAGGAAGUCAGAUGUGAAAUCCUAUGGCUUAACAACAGAACUGCAUUUGAAACUAUGAGUCUAGAGUGUGGGAGAGGUAGGUGGAAUUCUUGGUGUAGGGGUAAAAGCCGUAGAUAUCAAGAGGAAUACUCAUUGCGAAGGCGACCUACUGGAACAUUACUGACGCUCAUGCACGAAAGCGUGGGGAGCAAACAGGAUUAGAUACCCGAGUAGUC
rnacentral:rRNA from 1 species